rnacentral:rRNA from 1 species
GACGAACGCUGGCGGCGUGCCUAAUACAUGCAAGUAGAACGCACAGUUUAUACCGUAGCUUGCUACACCAUAGACUGUGAGUUGCGAACGGGUGAGUAACGCGUAGGUAACCUGCCUGGUAGCGGGGGAUAACUAUUGGAAACGAUAGCUAAUACCGCAUAAUAUUGAUUAUUGCAUGAUAAUUGAUUGAAAGAUGCUAUUGCAUCACUACCAGAUGGACCUGCGUUGUAUUAGCUAGUAGGUGAGGUAACGGCUCACCUAGGCGACGAUACAUAGCCGACCUGAGAGGGUGAUCGGCCACACUGGGACUGAGACACGGCCCAGACUCCUACGGGAGGCAGCAGUAGGGAAUCUUCGGCAAUGGACGAAAGUCUGACCGAGCAACGCCGCGUGAGUGAAGAAGGUUUUCGGAUCGUAAAGCUCUGUUGUAAGAGAAGAACGGGUGUGAGAGUGGAAAGUUCACACUGUGACGGUAUCUUACCAGAAAGGGGCGGCUAACUACGUG